AAAAUCUGGAAAGCGCGUUAUCAUUAAUUAAAAAAAUUACAGUUUUGUGAUAAAAGAUCUGCAUCAAAAAAUGCAUCAUUUAAGACUCAGGAAGAAAAUAGAAACUAAUAGAAUAGCACCAAAUUGAAUCGUUAUGAUGAUGACUGAAAAAAAAUAUAUCACAGCUGAUGCUCGAUCGCAUCUCCAAAGGAAUAAACGAGAAAGUUGAAAAAUUUGGAGUGUUCAGACAAGCGAUUUUCAAUUUCGCAUACGAGUACAAGCUCAAAUGGACGAAACGUGGCUAUAUGAGACACCUUUGUUCAAUUAUUACAUUUUCCUCGUUAUUUCGCCUCGUUAUUGUCACGCAGGGAUACGGUCUCACGGAAACGUGCUCAGGAGCCACAGUUAUGGACAGUAAGCAUAAAAUCUGUUGUAUAUUCUUAAAUUAUAUAUUUAAUAAAUAAUCGAUAAAAUAAAAGAAAUAAUAUACGUUUUGAGAAAAAUUUACACAGUUUUCCUACCGAUGCAGCUUAAGUUGCUAAAUCUAUCAACUGUGUUUUACCAUUUAUAAUCCUAUUCGAAGCUUUGUCUUCGAAAUAUAACUUAUAUAAAAACAUUUUUUAUUAUUAGUGUACAAUAGAAGCACAGAAAGAGUCGGAGUUCCUACGGUUAUCUGUGACAUAAGAGUGGAAAAUUAGGAAGAAAGGGAAUUACAGAGUAACGCAUACACCUAACCCGAGAGGCUGGUUUUACAAACUUCCGGACCAAACAAAAGAGAACUUCUUUGAGGAGAAUGGCAGAUAAUGGUUCAGAACAGGCGACAUUGGGGAAUUGCAUCCGGAUGGAAGCAUGACGAUUAUCGAUCAAAAGAAGGAUUUAGUCAAAUUGCUAUUGGGAGAGUGCGUAUCACUCGGUAAUAUCGAAGCUGAAUUGGAGACUUGUCCCGCCGUGGAAAAUAUCUGCGUCUAUGGAAACGCUUUCAAGGUGUACACAGUUGCUCUUGUCGUACCGAGUCCUUGCAGCCUUGAAGAAAUUGCAGCUAAUCUUAAUAGAUUACAACGAAGAAUCUUGAAGAAUUGUGCGUUCCGUAUAAAUCAAAUUUUCGAAUGGAUGAGGUAAACUACAGAGAUUCGAAAUCCCGGAAGUUGUGAAGCUCUGUCCAGAGCAGUGGUCACCGGACAUGGAUCUGGUAACGACUACUUUCAAACUGAAACGAAAAGCUGUCCAAGAGCGUUAUCAGCACGAAAUAAAUCGGAUGUACGCCUCUUGAUGUUACGGCAAAAAAUGCGCAAAGUGUAACGUCCAGCGUAUACGCAAACGUAGUAAUUUGGAAGUUCGACGUCGCGGAGGAGAAAAAGAAAAAAAGAUCAACAAACAUAACGCCAGUCGACGCAUAGAUCUCUCAGCGUGUCCUGAAUAAGCAAUGUUGAAAUUCAUAAACAUCGGCGAUACUUAUGACAAACGAAAAUACGCGAUCGCCCUCGAUUCACUUGGUACCGUGGAUGUGUACGUGUAAUCCCCGAGCAGAAGCUUGACCGAUACAUUUUGGGGCUCUAAGGCAGCAGCUGUCACCGAAAUCACAGUUCCAAGAGAAAUAGUACCAAAGGGGGUCAAAACGACCCCGAAUU
rnacentral:lncRNA from 1 species